AGCGGUAAGGCCCUUCGGGGUACACGAGCGGCGAACGGGUGAGUAACACGUGAGCAACCUGCCCCUGACUCCGGGAUAAGCGGUGGAAACGCCGUCUAAUACCGGAUAUGACCUGYCACCUCAUGGUGGCGGGUGGAAAGUUUUGUCGGUCAGGGAUGGGCUCGCGGCCUAUCAGCUUGUUGGUGGGGUAACGGCCUACCAAGGCGAUUACGGGUAGCCGGCCUGAGAGGGCGACCGGCCACACUGGGACUGAGACACGGCCCAGACUCCUGCGGGAGGYAGCAGUGGGGAAUAUUGCACAAUGGSCGAAAGCCUGAUGCARCGACGCCGCGUGGGGRAUGACGGCCUUCGGGUUGUAAACCUCUUUUACCACCAACGCAGGCUCCACGUUUUCGUGGGGUUGACGGUAGGUGGGGAAUAAGGACCGSYUAAYUACGUGSCAKCWGCCGCGGUAAUACGUAGGGGCCGAACGUUGUCCGGSAUUAUUGSGCGUAAAGAGMUYGUASGCGAURUGCCGCSUCUGCUG
rnacentral:rRNA from 1 species